GAUGAGCUGUGGCCAGGCUGGACCACUAGAACGCAGCAAGAGCAGCUGAGCCCAGUGCUCUUGUCUCUGUUACGUGGAGUGUAAGGGAGAGGGAAAUGGAUGAGGUCAUACUAUUGCAAUCACUUGGAAAAAAAAUACACAAACUUCCAAAACUGCAAGAUGCGUUCUACUGCCACCAGACAUCCUUUAGAGGUUUUCCUACAGAUUAAUAACCAGGAACUUGUUGGCGUCUGACAGGAGCAUCUCAGAUUUCUUACAUAAAAUGUGGAAUUGUCAACAGUCAGAUGCAUCAGUGGCCAAGGCUAUGGUGUGCAGUUUCUAUCAGCGUGUACAGGACAUCCUGCCUGGUUUUGGCCUCAAGAGCUGCCAUUGAUGGACACAGAGAGUGUUAAAACCCAGAGCACAUAAACCAGGAUGAGAAAAUUAAUCAGAAGAUAAAAGACAGCGGCUUUGGGGACCCUGGCUGAGCCCUCCUGCAUGCUCCUGGGACAUCCUUUCAGACCAGCAGCACCAUCCCGUGCAGGGGCUGUGACAGAUGACUUAUAAUGUAGACAUCACCUCUACUGGUGGACAGCCUUCGGAUCUGCUGAGUCCUUUUAUAAUAAAUAAAACCAAACACGACA
rnacentral:lncRNA from 1 species